AUUGAACGCUGGCGGCAGGCCUAACACAUGCAAGUCGAACGGUAACAGGAAGCAGCUUGCUGCUUUGCUGACGAGUGGCGGACGGGUGAGUAAUGUCUGGGAAACUGCCUGAUGGAGGGGGAUAACUACUGGAAACGGUAGCUAAUACCGCAUAACGUCGCAAGACCAAAGAGGGGGACCUUAGGGCCUCUUGCCAUCGGAUGUGCCCAGAUGGGAUUAGCUAGUAGGUGGGGUAACGGCUCACCUAGGCGACGAUCCCUAGCUGGUCUGAGAGGAUGACCAGCCACAUUGGAACUGAGACACGGUCCAGACUCCUACGGGAGGCAGCAGUGGGGAAUAUUGCACAGUGGGCGCAAGCCUGAUGCAGCCAUGCCGCGUGUAUGAAGAAGGCCUUCGGGUUGUAAAGUACUUUCAGCGGGGAGGAAGGGAGUAAAGUUAAUACCUUUGCUAAUUGACGUUACCCGCAGAAGAAGCACCGGCUAACUCCGUG
rnacentral:rRNA from 1 species